rnacentral:rRNA from 1 species
AGGGCACCACCAGGAGUGGAGCCUGCCGCUUAAUUUGACUCAACACGGGAAAACUCACCCGGCCCCGACACCGGAAGGAUUGACAGACUGGGAGCUCUUUCUUAAUUCGGGGGGGGGUGGUGCGUGGCCGUUCUUAGUUGGGGGGGGCAUUUGGCUGGUUAAUUCCAAUAACGAACAAAAAUUUGGCCUAUUAAAUAGACGGGGUAUCGAAAAGUAUAUCGCGCUUCUUAAAGGGACAGGCGGCGUCCAGCCGCAUGACACACAGCAAUAACAGGUCUGUGAUGCCCUUGGAUCUCCGGGGCUGCUCGCGCGCUACGCUGAAAGAAUAAGAGUGCGCCGUGACCUACUUCGGAAGAACCGGGUAACCCACGUAAAUUCUCUCCUUCUUGGGAUAGGUAAUAGAUAAGUAUUUCCUCUAAACGAGGAAUUCAUAGCAAAUACGCGCCAUACGCUCGCGUUGAUUACUUCCCUGCCCUUUGUACACACUCGACCGUCCCUCCUACCGAUCGAAUGACUUAG